rnacentral:ncRNA from 2 species
GCCCUGAAGCGGGGGUGCCCACGGGCUGAGAAAUACCCUUCGAACCUGAUCCGGCUGAACCCGGCGUAGGGAAGCUUCGAAGCGUGGUCC